CCGAGUUAUACAACUCCUCAACCCCUGUGAACAUACCUAAAUCGUUGCCUCGGCGGGACCCCCGCCCCGGCCCUGUACCCAGGGCGCCCCGCCAGGAGGACCCCUAACUCCUGUUAUUCACGUGUAUCUUCUGAGGACAACAAGCAAAUAAAUCA
rnacentral:misc_RNA from 1 species